rnacentral:rRNA from 1 species
UACGUAGGGUGCAAGCGUUAAUCGGAAUUACUGGGCGUAAAGCGUGCGCAGGCGGUUAUGUAAGACAGAUGUGAAAUGCCCGGGCUCAACCUGGGAACUGCAUUUGUGACUGCAUGGCUAGAGUUUGGCAGAGGGGGGUAGAAUUCCACGUGUAGCAGUGAAAUGCGUAGAUAUGUGGAGGAAUACCGAUGGCGAAGGCAGCCCCCUGGGUCAAGACUGACGCUCCAUGCACGAAAGCGUGGGGAGCAAACGAGG